CUCAAUGGUCAGCUGAGGCAUCUGGGAAACCCUCUCCUUCUGAUCCAGGAUCUGGUACAGCUACCAUGAUGAACAGCAGCUCAAGAGGCUCUUCCCCUACCAGGGUACUCGAUGAAGGCAAGGUAAAUGCACCCAUUUUGAAUAAUUAGUUAUUUCAGGAACAUUUAGCUCUUCCUACAACUCUCUCUUUGCCUCAUCUCCUAUUUGUGUGUUCUAUCUGUACUAUCUAUUUUUUAAAAAAGCAAACUGUUCUCCAAAAGCCUGAAGUCCCCUCAGUUCCCAGCAUUACAUCU
rnacentral:sRNA from 1 species